AUACGUAGGGCUGCACCGUGUGUGCAUUGUUCUACAGGUGACGCAAAGGAGUAUUAGGAAUAUAAUUAAUGCUAUGCAUAGGUUUGAAGUUACAAUUAGCUUAACAAUUGUUUUCCACACUAUGAUUAGGAUUAAGGGUACUGUGACAGAAAACAAGUGGCAUUAUUUUUAUUGCAGCAUUUAGGUUAAGAGACGUUUUUAAUAUUGGGUUAAUAGUUAGGUUUACAUAUACACUGUGGGUUAACAUAAUUAUCAUUAGAGCUCACAUUAAGCUACGGGUUCAGGUCAAGAUUAACAUUCACGCUGCCUCCCAGCCAAUCCCAGAGAGCCAAAGAAAGAAGGCAAGCAGAACUCCCACGGAAAGCCAAGGCGAAGGGAAGGGCAAAAGCAAGGAGAGCACCCAACAGAAAGCCAAGGUGAGGGCAAGGAGACAGCAGCAGGAAAGGCCAAGGGCAAAGGCCAAGAGAACACAGCAAAAAAUGCCAAAACAGAAGGCCAAGGGAACAUGGCAUAGAAUGCUCAGGUCAGGGCAAGGGCUAAGAGAACGUGGCAGGAAGUGCCAAAACAGGAGGCCAAAGAGAACACGGCAAAGAAGGCCAAGGCAGAAGGCUAAGAGAAGUUGGCUGGGAACACCAGAACAUGAUGCCAAAGAGAACACUGCAGGAAAUGCCCAAACAGGAGGGCAAGAGAACACUGCAGGGAACGCCAAAACUGAAUGCUGAAGAGAACGUGGCAGAAGAAAAAGAAGUUCAAUAGCCAAGAGAAUGUGGCAUGGAACGCAAAAACAGGAGGGCAAGGGAAUGCCUAGGUAAGGGCCAAGAGAAUGUGGAAGGAAAUGCCAAGGAAGUGGCCAAGAGAACACAACAAGAAACGCCAAAACAGAAGGGCAAGAGAGCACUGCAGGGAACGCCAAAACUGAAUGCUGAAGUGAAUGUGGCCAAGAAAGCCAAGGGCAAUGGCCAAGAGAACAUGACAUGGAAUGCAAAAACAGGAGGGCAAGAGAAUGCAGUAGGGAACGCCAAGGGCAAAGGGAAGGAGAACACCGCAGUGAAAGGCCAGAGCCAAGGAGAACAUGCAAAGAAUAGGACAGGCAGCCUUCGGGGCACCCUGAAGUGCAGAAAGGAGCUCUGGGAACCCUACCUUGUGUCUCACUCAGUAAGGGGUAAACACUGGUGGGUGUGCAUUGUCCUUACCUGCCGGGCAGACAGUUACCAGUCAGCAAAGUGGGGUUCCAGGGCAUCCCAGGAAAUGCAGCUUUCAGUUCCUUGCUGUUCCCAUGAAGACCCGCACAUCUCUCCAUGCAGUCCUUACAGUACUUGGGAGCACCAUGGCUUUCUGCUGCCACCUGUUAGACACAAUGCAGUAAUGAAGACGC
ensembl:lncRNA